UAGGGAAUCUUCGGCAAUGGGGGCAACCCUGACCGAGCAACGCCGCGUGAGUGAAGAAGGUUUUCGGAUCGUAAAGCUCUGUUGUAAGAGAAGAACGUGUGUGAGAGUGGAAAGUUCACACAGUGACGGUAACUUACCAGAAAGGGACGGCUAACUACGUGCCAGCAGCCGCGGUAAUACGUAGGUCCCGAGCGUUGUCCGGAUUUAUUGGGCGUAAAGCGAGCGCAGGCGGUUUAAUAAGUCUGAAGUUAAAGGCAGUGGCUUAACCAUUGUUCGCUUUGGAAACUGUUAAACUUGAGUGAAGAAGGGGAGAGUGGAAUUCCAUGUGUAGCGGUGAAAUGCGUAGAUAUAUGGAGGAACACCGGUGGCGAAAGCGGCUCUCUGGUCUGUAACUGACGCUGAGGCUCGAAAGCGUGGGGAGCAAACAGG
rnacentral:rRNA from 1 species